GCCUUCUUAGCUCAGUCGGUAGAGGAUCAAACUUUUAAUCUGAGGGUCGUGGGUUGGAAUCCCACAAAAGGCG
rfam:Toxocara canis scaffold580, whole genome shotgun sequence.